rnacentral:lncRNA from 1 species
GGAAAAGACCCGCAGUCUGGGCCCCAGACCCUCCCCGGGGAGACUGGAAAGGAGGCGAGGUGCAGGAGCCCGAGGAGAAAGACUCUACAUCGAGCCCUGUUUGAAGGAUCCUCUCUUUAUGGACAAUCACAAUAUGCUUGGUUGGAUUGGAUUUCUUAUAAAAGAGUGAAGGGGCCGGACAGAAGCAUGGAUCAAGGGGA